GUGGGGUAACGGCCCACCAAGGCGAUGACGGGUAGCCGGUCUGAGAGGACGACCGGUCACACUGGGACUGAGACACUGCCCAGACUCCUACGGGAGGCUGCAGUCGAGAAUCUUCCGCAAUGGGCGAAAGCCUGACGGAGCGACACCGCGUGCAGGGUGAAGGCCUUCGGGUUGUAAACUGCUGUCACGCCGUAUGAAAGCCCUGUCGUUAAUAGCGGCAGGGUUGACGUCAAGGCGAGAGGAAGCACCGGCUAACUCCGUGCCAGCAGCCGCGGUAAUACGGAGGGUGCGAACGUUGUUCGGAAUCACUGGGCAUAAAGCGCACGUAGGCGGCCUCGCCAGUCCGAUGUGAAAGCCCCCGGCUCAACCGAGGAAUUGCAUUGGAUACUACGAGGCUAGAGGACGGUUGGGGUGAGUGGAACUCCUGGUGGAGCGGUGAAAUGCGUAGAUAUCAGGAGGAACACCGGUGGCGAAAGCGGCUCACUGGACCGUCACUGACGCUGAGGUGCGAAAGCUAGGGUAGCGAACGGGAUUAGAUACCCCGGUAGUCCUAGCCGUAAACGAUGGGCACUAGGUUGAGGGGACGCCUAUGGUCUUCUCAGCCGUAGCAAAUGUGAUAAGUG
rnacentral:rRNA from 1 species